rnacentral:tRNA from 1 species
GCCACGGUAGCUCAGCUGGAAGAGCGCUCGGCUGUUAACCGAGCGGUCGAUGGUUCGAAUCCAUCCCGUGGCG